GGAGAUGGUGGACGAACUGGGUACAUAAAAAAUCCUACCGUGAAUGUUGUCUCAUACCGGACGGGGUAUGGAGACUUGAUAAUUUGGCGUUCAUAACGGACGGAGUAUGAGGACGACCCACUUCUCCCUCAUACCGGAUGGGGUAUUGAGGUUUAAUAAAUUGGCACUCAUAUCGGAGGGUGUAUGAGAACGACUCAUAAUUGAUAUUGUUAAAAGAAAGGGUUCACGUGUAGCAGG
rnacentral:lncRNA from 1 species